UUUUUCGUUUUACAGAAACUAAAAAACCCUAGCUGUCCCCCCCCCCACCCAAGAACAAAGGGGUUGAAUUACUAAUCGAUGAAGAAAUCUCCCACCAUGGCUAAAUCAUAUAUUUGUAUCAUUAUUUUUGUUCUAAAACCAAUUUUUAACUCAUGGUUGGAAGUUUCUUUCCAUAUCAGAACAUCAGAUAAUUGGAAUUGAAGAGAUGGAUGUAAAUGGAGGAGGGUAUAAUCUAAGAACAGGAGAUUUUAAAGGUAGAAGAGCUGGAUUGAUUAAAUCUCUCACUUCUGGACUUCCAAGGGAGCCCAAAUAUAGUCAUUUGAGAGAUCUUCAUAAAGCAAUCAACCCGAAGCUACUUGUGCCUAAAUCUAGGUGUAAAGGUUGAGAUGCACUCUGCUGGGGAGGAAAGUGGGAAAUUGAUAACUGCAAUGAGUUGACUAAGACAGCUGGAAUUGGAUCUAACAACAUCCCAAGUCAUGGCCAGCUGUUGUUCUUUGCACAGCAGAGACAUAUCCAACAAGUAGCUGUUGGUAGGUUGCCAGAGCUGAAUGUAUAUGGUCCCGACUAUCCCACCAAGGAUGGAAGUGCGGUACGAGAUUACAUUCAUGUCAUGGAUUUAGCGGUGAUAUCCUGUUUGAAAAAGCUUAUCAUGUCAGAGAAUAUUGGUUGUGCGGACUGGGCGUGGAACAUCUGUGCUUGAGAUGGUUCUGCAUUCGAGUUAAAAGAAUCUCGGUUAAGCUGUGCUCAUGAAGUCCAGGAGAUGCAAUUGCUGUUAUGCAUCUAGAGGAUUGUACUCUAUUGAGAGCAUCUCCACUACCUCAUCUAGAUUAAAAUUAUAGUCUACUUACACGCCAUCAAGAGUAACUGUUGUUUAUAUGAAUAAUCCCUCAUCCUUAGAAACUUGCCAUUUUUAAAAUCUUUUUGUUUCCUUAAAACUUUUUUGUGUGUAAAAAAUAAAAAUUCUUGAAUAUGGCCGUUCUCUGUGGAGAGAGGGGCGUUCCGAAAUAAUUGAUGUUUUAAUAAUUUUCUUCUGCCGUCUUCAUUCAAUUGAGAAAUUGACUCACUCUCUCUCUGUAAUUAUUCAUGUUCUUCAUUUAUUCAUAUGCGUGGAAAGAAAACAAGGUUUGCAAGUAGACUGUAAUAUUGCUUGUGACUUUCAGAUCAUAAAUCAUUUUUUGUUUA